rnacentral:rRNA from 1 species
GAUGAACGCUGGCGGCGUGCCUAAUACAUGCAAGUCGAGCGAACAGACGAGGAGCUUGCUCCUCUGACGUUAGCGGCGGACGGGUGAGUAACACGUGGAUAACCUACCUAUAAGACUGGGAUAACUUCGGGAAACCGGAGCUAAUACCGGAUAAUAUAUUGAACCGCAUGGUUCAAUAGUGAAAGACGGUUUUGCUGUCACUUAUAGAUGGAUCCGCGCCGCAUUAGCUAGUUGGUAAGGUAACGGCUUACCAAGGCAACGAUGCGUAGCCGACCUGAGAGGGGGAUCGGCCACACUGGAACUGAGACACGGUCCAGACUCCUACGGGAGGAAGCAGUGGGGAAUCUUCCGCAAUGGGCGAAAGCCUGACGGAGCAACGCCGCGUGAGUGAUGAAGGUCUUCGGAUCGUAAAACUCUGUUAUUAGGGAAGAACAAAUGUGUAAGUAACUAUGCACGUCUUGACGGUACCUAAUCAGAAAGCCACGGCUAACUACGUG